rnacentral:tRNA from 1 species
GCCAUCAUAGCUCAGCUGGUAGAGCAUCUCAUUCGUAAUGAGAGGGUCGCAGGUUCGAAUCCUGUUGAUGGCU